rnacentral:rRNA from 1 species
CCUACGGGUGGCAGCAGUGAGGAAUAUUGGUCAAUGGGCGCAAGCCUGAACCAGCCACGUCGCGUGAGGGAUGACGGUCCUACUUAUUGUAAACCUCUUUUGCCGGGGAGCAAGCGUGCGUUCGUGAACGCGCGUCGAGAGUACCCGGCGAAACAGCAUCGGCUAACUCCGUCCCAGCAGACGCGGUAAUACGGGGGAUGCGAGCGUUAUCCGGCUUUAUUGGGUUUAAAGGGUGCGUAGGCGGGAUGCAAAGUCAGCGGGAAAAAUGCGGUGCUCAACGCCGGCGAGCCGUUGAAACUGGAGUGCUUGAGUGGGCGAGAGGUAUGUGGAAUGCGUGGUGUAGCGGUGAAAUGCAUAGAUAUCACGCAGAACACCGAUGGCGAAGGCAGCAUACUGGCGCCCUACUGACGCUGAGGCACGAAAGCGUGGGUAUCGAACAGGAUUAGAUACCCCGGUAGUC